rnacentral:rRNA from 1 species
CCUACGGGAGGCAGCAGUGGGGAAUAUUGGGCAAUGGGCGCAAGCCUGACCCAGCAACGCCGCGUGAAGGAAGAAGGCUCUCGGGUUGUAAACUUCUUUUAUCAGGGACGAAGCAAGUGACGGUAUCUGAUGACUAAGCCACGGCUAACUACGUGCCCGCAGCCGCGGUAAUACGUAGGUGGCAAGCGUUAUCCGGAUUUACGGGGUGUAAGGGGCGUGGAGGCGGGAAAGCAAGUCAGAUGUGAAAACCAUGGGCUCAACCUGUGGCCUGCAUUUGAUACUGUUGUUCUUGAGUACGGGUGAGGCAGACGGAAUUCCUAGUGUAGCGGUGAAAUGCAUAGAUAUUAGGCAGAACACCAGUGGCGAAGGCGGUCUGCUAGACAGCAACUGACGCUGAGGCGCGAAAGCGUGGGGAGCAAACAGGAUUAGAUACCCUUGUAGUC